AAGUGAGUUUUGCCUAUCCCCUUCCAUCAGAAUCACCUGGUGAGCUUGUUAGAGAACAGAUUCUCAGGAACCACACCAGGAUUUCGGAUUUAGAAUUGAUGGUGGUUGAGCCUAGACUCUGUAUUUUUAACAAGCUCCCUAUGUGAUUCUUUUUCAUGCUAAAAUUUGAGAGCAUCUGGCCUCCAGAUCAAGUGCAAACACUUCAGAAUUGCUGGUAAGUACCAUCUGACUCUGGCUUAGCGCCUUCUUUCCCUCAAUUCUUUCUACUCUUUCACCUCCCCUCUGCACUCCAGCUUUUUGGAGGGAGAUUUCAUGUUUGCUGGCAUCUCUACCAAUAAGCACACCAAUCGAAGUGGAAUUCAAAAAGGCUGUUUUGGUCACUUACCAAACCUCUCAUCAGAGAAAUGUUGGAAGAAGUAAUUUAAUUGAAAUCUCUAUAUGAUGAGAAGACUGUGCUCAGAGAUGGUAAGAAACUCAGAAGAGGCACCUGGUGAAUAGGAGAUGUCUGGAACUUGAAUGCAGGAAGAAGUGGAUACUUUCAACGGGAGAAACUCGAGCAUCAGAUUUGCUCCUUGGAGCAUUAAUAAAAGGGCUCAGUUAGCCUCAUCUCAUUAUUUUACUAUGAGUAUUGACUUUGGCCUAGAGUCAUGUAUAGAUAAAAUGGUGCAAGGGCUUGUCCUAAGUGAUUACUCAGAAUUACAAAUCAUUUCACGUGUAACUGAAUACUGCCGUCUAGCUGGCACCCUGCCCCUUGCUUCUCCCCCUCCCCUUCCUCUAAUAGGAGCGCAAAUCCAGCUUUGUCUGAAGAGGCAAUUAAUCUUAUUCACUGAAAGCCGAAUUUUAAUUCACCAGCAUGUGGAGGACAUAUUUGCCUAUCACACAGAAUUAGUUUAACAGAGAAUUUAGACAAAAAAGAUAUUGGAGGUCUUGGCAUUCUUUGGCAGGCAAAAUAUCUUGUAGGUACAUUCCUUUAUUAGCCAUCUACAUACUACAAAUAAGCUUCUUGUAAUAAUAACUCUAUUAGGGUAAACUGGGUUUAUUUUGUAUUUGAAAGUGGCUGAUUACAUUUUAUUUCAUGUAAAGAAACCCACAAGAUAUGUGUGUUUUGGAGGAAAAUGAACAUAAGGUGAGAGAGAUAAAUUUUAGUUUUCUAGAGAUUCUAAAAGGCUAUUAUUUUUAAGGGCACAGUUUAAAGAUGAUCAGAAAAAUAAAGGGACACAUAAAAAUCCUAGACAGCCUACAUACAUCCAAAUCUAAUCCUGCAGAAGGGUAAGUGGUAAGGUAUGAGGUAGACACCAUUGCCAGCACCACACUAGGACUCUCAUGUGAAAUCUGUGAGGGCAAAUACCGGAUUUCCCCAGUGCUUCUGCUGUGCUCUAUUUUAAUUUUCCCCUGAGCAAGGCCUUAGUGUUUUAUCUGAAGUUUGUUUCACAUGUAGACAAAGUGUAAAAAAGAAAAACUUCCUGAAGCAGUUUCUUAAUUCAAGAGAUUUAGACAGGAAUAUGAUUUAAUGCAUGUCCAUGCUUGGUUAGAUAUCAAAUUCCCCUAAGUUCAGAAAACACAUGGCUCUGUUUUGUCCUUCUAUUUAACAUGGCGCUCGUCAAAGGCUACCU
ensembl:lncRNA